rnacentral:lncRNA from 1 species
GCAGAAACACAGCCAGCUGCUGCCUACUACUCUCAUUCCCUUGCUCUCCAUCAGCCACUAAGUGGCUGUGAAGUAGGCUCAGCAAAGAGGAAAGGGGAAGAAGGUGCUGCUGUUCCAGGCUCUCAGUCAUUGUAUUUCACCCCAAAAUGUAAAUAUGUAAUGGGAGCAAUGACAUAUGUAUGGCUCUCCUGAUACUGCAGUAAAGCCAGCAAAACUGAUGAGCACUUCUCCAACUGAGAGCUGCCUCGCCCUGUAAGGAAUCAAGUAAAGAAGUCAUCUCUGUUCUGCUAUAUUAGAGGGUGCUGGAUAAAACUUUUCUGUGCUUAACAGAAGAAGAAGAAGGUUAGCAAAGUUAUCAUUGGAUCUCUAUUAUAAAUCGGAAGAGUACCAGAUAGAGGAAGAAGAAAUGGAUGAAACUCAAUAUUAACCCCUCCACAGCUAGACAACUGGCUAUACUUUGCAUGGGGGGUUGGAGGAAGGGAGGAUGAACUGGAAGUCCAAAAAGUAACUUAUCCAAGUUAUGUCAAGGCUUUAUCUACAUGAGAGCCUUGAGAAGCUUUGUAACCUUUUCUAACCUGUGUUCAGCACAAAACACAAGAGAAAGCAGCAAAGCAGAUGAUUGGGACAGUUGGAAGGUAUACAAGGGAGGCAACUCCUGGAAUAGUAAUUCCUGGAACUGGAAGACCACAUUCCUGGAACUGGAAGACUACAUUCUCCCAUGGAUUUUGGAGGACUGCAUAUUCUUGUUUUAGACCUUUCUCCUACUCACUAAAUCUCCUUCCUAUUCCAACACAAAUAACAGUUAUAGCAACAUCUAGUUCUAGCUGAGUGACACAUAAUGGUGUCAGUCAGCUGGAACUAAAUACAAUUUAAUCAAUGGACUAAGAAUUGUGAUUCAGAUUGAAAGCAACCCCGGCUAACGCUAGUAUAUAGUGCAUGCAAAAUGUAUUUGCAACUGUGUGUUUACUCACUGGUGUUUGGGUGUAUUUGUUAAUCACAUGCAACACAAUCCAAAAAUCAGGAUUCUCUAUAGGAAGGAUGCUUCCACUUGCAAACUAUUUGAAUGAGAAAAAGAACACCCCAUAGAAAUUUCUUUUAAAAUGCCUUGGCCCAUGCUUCCUAUUAAUUCUACACCAUCCCACUUUUUAAAAAAAUGUCCUAAUUCAUCUCUCUUCAAAGUGGAAAACUAGGAUGGAUAACUUUAUGGGAGUAACAUCUUUGUAAAUGAAUAUAGGCAAUCUAUUGGAUCGUUUCAUGAUAUCUAU